rnacentral:rRNA from 1 species
ACGCACGCUGGCGGCGUGCUUCACCCCUGCAAGUCGAACGGAAAGGCCCCUUUGGGGGUACUCGAGUGGCGAACGGGUGAGUAACACGUGAGUAACCUGCCCUUGACUUCGGGAUAACUUCAGGAAACUGGGGCUAAUACCGGAUAGGAAUCCUUGCUGCAUGGUGGGGGUUGGAAAGCUUCGGCGGUUUUGGAUGGACUCGCGGCUUAUCAGCUUGUUGGUGGGGUAGUGGCUUACCAAGGCUUUGACGGGUAGCCGGCCUGAGAGGGCGACCGGCCACAUUGGGACUGAGAUACGGCCCAGACGCCUACGGGAGGCAGCAGUGGGGAAUAUUGCACAAUGGGCGGCAGCCUGAUGCAGCAACGCCGCGUGCGGGAUGACGGCCUUCGGGUUGGAAACCGCUUUCAGCAGGGGCGAAGCUUGUGGUGACGGUACCUGCAGAAGAAGCACCGGCUAACUACGUG